CGUAUCACUUAAAGCGAUUCAGCGGGUUACGAUUGACGGAGCGAAGCGACGUCAAAGCGUAUACAAAGUCGAGUCGGUUUAAGGAUACGUUCGUUGGGUAGGGGAGCGUUCUGUAAGCCUGUGAAGGUGUGUCGUGAGGCAUGCUGGAGGUAUCAGAAGUGCGAAUGCUGACAUAAGUAACGAUAAAGCGGGUGAAAAGCCCGCUCGCCGGAAGACCAAGGGUUCCUGUCCAACGUUAAUCGGGGCAGGGUGAGUCGACCCCUAAGGCGAGGCCGAAAGGCGUAGUCGAUGGGAAACGGGUUAAUAUUCCCGUACUUGGUGUUACUGCGAAGGGGGGACGGAGAAGGCUAUGUUGGCCGGGCGACGGUUGUCCCGGUUUAAGCGUGUAGGUGUGUGUUCCAGGUAAAUCCGGUUCACUUUAACACUGAGGCGUGACGACGAGGCACUACGGUGCUGAAGCAACAAAUGCCCUGCUUCCAGGAAAAGCCUCUAAGCAUCAGGUAACAUCAAAUCGUACCCCAAACCGACACAGGUGGUCAGGUAGAGAAUACCAAGGCGCUUGAGAGAACUCGGGUGAAGGAACUAGGCAAAAUGGUGCCGUAACUUCGGGAGAAGGCACGCUGACACGUAGGUGAAGUGAUUUACUCAUGGAGCUGAAGUCAGUCGAAGAUACCAGCUGGCUGCAACUGUUUAUUAAAAACACAGCACUGUGCAAACACGAAAGUGGACGUAUACGGUGUGACGCCUGCCCGGUGCCGGAAGGUUAAUUGAUGGGGUCAGCGCAAGCGAAGCUCCUGAUCGAAGCCCCGGUAAACGGCGGCCGUAACUAUAACGGUCCUAAGGUAGCGAAAUUCCUUGUCGGGUAAGUUCCGACCUGCACGAAUGGCGUAAUGAUGGCCAGGCUGUCUCCACCCGAGACUCAGUGAAAUUGAACUCGCUGUGAAGAUGCAGUGUACCCGCGGCAAGACGGAAAGACCCCGUGAACCUUUACUAUAGCUUGACACUGAACAUUGAGCCUUGAUGUGUAGGAUAGGUGGGAGGCUUUGAAGUGUGGACGCCAGUCUGCAUGGAGCCGACCUUGAAAUACCACCCUUUAAUGUUUGAUGUUCUAACGUGGACCCGUGAUCCGGGUUGCGGACAGUGUCUGGUGGGUAGUUUGACUGGGGCGGUCUCCUCCUAAAGAGUAACGGAGGAGCACGAAGGUUGGCUAAUCCUGGUCGGACAUCAGGAGGUUAGUGCAAUGGCAUAAGCCAGCUUGACUGCGAGCGUGACGGCGCGAGCAGGUGCGAAAGCAGGUCAUAGUGAUCCGGUGGUUCUGAAUGGAAGGGCCAUCGCUCAACGGAUAAAAGGUACUCCGGGGAUAACAGGCUGAUACCGCCCAAGAGUUCAUAUCGACGGCGGUGUUUGGCACCUCGAUGUCGGCUCAUCACAUCCUGGGGCUGAAGUAGGUCCCAAGGGUAUGGCUGUUCGCCAUUUAAAGUGGUACGCGAGCUGGGUUUAGAACGUCGUGAGACAGUUCGGUCCCUAUCUGCCGUGGGCGCUGGAGAACUGAGGGGGGCUGCUCCUAGUACGAGAGGACCGGAGUGGACGCAUCACUGGUGUUCGGGUUGUCAUGCCAAUGGCACUGCCCGGUAGCUAAAUGCGGAAGAGAUAAGUGCUGAAAGCAUCUAAGCACGAAACUUGCCCCGAG
rnacentral:rRNA from 2 species